GAUGAACGCUGGCGGCGUGCCUAAUACAUGCAAGUCGAGCGAACGGACGAGAAGCUUGCUUCUCUGAUGUUAGCGGCGGACGGGUGAGUAACACGUGGAUAACCUACCUAUAAGACUGGGAUAACUUCGGGAAACCGUAGCUAAUACCGGAUAAUAUUUUGAUCCGCAUGGUUCAAAAGUGAAAGACGGUCUUGCUGUCACUUAUAGAUGGAUCCGCGCUGCAUUAGCUAGUUGGUAAGGUAACGGCUUACCAAGGCAACGAUGCAUAGCCGACCUGAGAGGGUGAUCGGCCACACUGGAACUGAGACACGGUCCAGACUCCUACGGGAGGCAGCAGUAGGGAAUCUUCGGCAAUGGGCGAAAGCCUGACGGAGCAACGCGGCGUGAGUGAUGAAGGUCUUCGGAUCGUAAAACUCUGUUAUUAGGGAAGAACAUAUGUGUAAGUAACUGUGCACAUCUUGACGGUACCUAAUCAGAAAGCCACGGCUAACUACGUG
rnacentral:rRNA from 1 species